CAAUAGCGUAUAUUAAAGUUGUUGCAGUUAAAAAGCUCGUAGUUGAAUUUCUGGUGGGCGCGCCGGUCUUCCAAGUGUUGUACUGGGCGCAGUCCGCCAUCCUUGUGGAGAGGGCUCGCAUUGAGUUGCGUGUCGGAUCUGCAUCAUUUACUGUGAAAAAAUUAGAGUGUUUAAAGCAGGCUGUCGCUUGAAUACAUUAGCAUGGAAUAAUAAGAUAGGACUUCGGUCUAUUUUGUUGGUUGCGAACCGAGGUAAUGAUUAAUAGGGAUAGCUGGGGGUAUUCAUAUUUAAUUGUCAGAGGUGAAAUUCUUGGAUUUAUGAAAGAUGAACAACUGCGAAAGCAUUUACCAAGGAUGUUUNCAUUAA
rnacentral:rRNA from 1 species